AUUGAACGCUGGCGGCAGGCCUAACACAUGCAAGUCGAACGAGUGGCGGACGGGUGAGUAAUGUCUGGGAAACUGCCCGAUGGAGGGGGAUAACUACUGGAAACGGUAGCUAAUACCGCAUACCAUCGGAUGUGCCCAGAUGGGAUUAGCUAGUAGGUGGGGUAAUGGCUCACCUAGGCGACGCUCCCUAGCUGGUCUGAGAGGAUGACCAGCAAGACGGGAACUGAGAAACGGUCAAGACUCCUACGGGAGGCAGCAGUGGGGAAUAUUGCACAAUGGGGGAAAGCCGGAUGAAGCCAUGCCGAGUGUAUGAAGAAGGCCUUCGGGUUGUAAAGUACUUUCAGCGAGGAGGCGUUACUCGAAGAAGAAGCACCGGCUAACUCCGUGCCAGCAGCCGCGGUAAUAC
rnacentral:rRNA from 1 species